rnacentral:rRNA from 1 species
GACGAACGCUGGCGGCGUGCUUAACACAUGCAAGUCGAACGAAGUGGCGAACGGGUGAGUAACGCGUAAACAACCUGCCCUUCAGCGGGGGAUAACAGUUGGAAACGACUGCUAAUACCGCAUACUGCAGGAGGGGAUUGAGUCUGAUGAGCUAGUGGGAGGGGUACCGGCCCCCAAAGGCGAGGAUCAGGAGCCGGUCUGAGAGGACGACCAGCCACACUGGGACUGAGACACGGCCCAGACUCCUACGGGAGGCAGCAGUGGGGAAUUUUGGACAAUGGGGGAAACCCUGAUCCAGCCAUCCCGCGUGUGCGAUGAAGGCCUUCGGGUUGUAAAGCACUUUUGGCAGGAAAGCGGUACCUGCAGAAUAAGCACCGGCUAACUACGUGCCAGCCGCCGCGGUAAUAC